AGAAGCGGUGGUAGCGGAGGCAGUACUGGGGCUGGUGGUGGUUCCAGCUGCGGGGCAGGCAUUGGCCGUAGUGGCUUGUUGGAUAAGUGGCAGAUAGACGAUAAGUCUGUAAAAACUGACAAGUGGGAUGGAUCAGCCGUGAAAAACUCUUUGGAUGACUCUGCCAAAAAGGUACUUCUGGAAAAAUACAAAUAUGUGGAGAAUUUUGGUCUAAUUGACGGUCGCCUCACCAUCUGUACACUCUCUUGUUUCUUUGCCAUAGUGGCUUUGAUUUGGGAUUAUAUGCACCCCUUUGCAGAGUCCAAACCCGUUUUGGCUUUGUGCGUCAUAUCCUAUUUUGUGAUGAUGGGGAUUCUGACCAUUUAUACCUCAUAUAAGGAGAAGAGCAUCUUCCUUGUGGCCCACAGGAAAGAUCCUACAGGAAUGGAUCCUGAUGAUAUUUGGCAGCUGUCCUCCAGUCUUCAAAGGUUUAAUGACAAAUAAACCUUGAAGCUGACCUUCAGCAGUGGGAGAACAAAGCAGCAGCGGGAAGCCGAGUUCACCAAGUCCGUUGCUAAGUUUUUUGACCACAGUGGGACACUGGUCAUGGAUGCAUAUGAGCCUGAAAUAUCCAGGCUCCAUGACUGAAAUAUCCAGGCUUCUGGUCUUGCCAUAGAAAGAAAAAUAAAAUAGCCAAUUCUAAAAG